UACAUGGGGUGCAAACGUUGUUCGGAAUCACUGGGCUUAAAGGGCGCGUAGGCGGGCUGUCAAGUCUGGGGUGAAAUGCUGCGGCUCAACCGUAGAACUGCCUUAGAUACUGACGGCCUCGAGGAAGGUAGGGGCAUGCGGAACUGUAGGUGGAGCGGUGAAAUGCGUUGAUAUCUACAGGAACUCCGGUGGCGAAAGCGGCGUGCUGGACCUUUUCUGACGCUGAGGCGCGAAAGCUAGGGGAGCAAACGGG
rnacentral:rRNA from 1 species